rnacentral:rRNA from 1 species
UACGCAGGUGGCAAGCGUUAUCCGGAUUUAUUGGGCGUAAAGGGAACGCAGGCGGUCUUUUAAGUCUGAUGUGAAAGCCUUCGGCUUACCCGGAGUAGUGCAUUGGAAACUGGGAGACUUGAGUGCAGAAGAGGAGAGUGGAACUCCAUGUGUAGCGGUGAAAUGCGUAGAUAUAUGGAAGAACACCAGUGGCGAAAGCGGCUCUCUGGUCUGUAACUGACGCUGAGGUUCGAAAGCGUGGGUAGCAAACAGG